UCAAAGAUUAAGCCAUGCAUGUCUAAGUAUAAGAAGGCGUUCGUUCCCUCGAGACUGCGAAUGGCUCAUUAAAUCAGUUAUUGUUUAUUUGAUGGUGCCCCUUACUUGGAUAACCGUAGUAAUUCUAGAGGUAAUACGUGCCCACUGUCCCGACCUCACGGAAGGGAUGCAUUUAUUAGAGCAAAGACCAAUGCCGGGCUUGCCCGGCUCUACCGGUGACACAUAGUAAAUACGCGGAUCGCACGGCCUUGUGCUGGCGACGCUUCAUUCAAAUUUUUGCCCUAUCAACUUUUGAUGGUAGGAUAGAGGCCUACCAUGGUGGUAACGGGUGACGGAGAAUUAGGGUUUGAUUCCGGAGAGGGAGCCUGAGAAACGGGUACCACAUCCAAGGAAGGCAGCAGGCGCGCAAAUUACCCAAUCCUGACAGAGGGAGGUAGUGACAAUAAAUAACAAUACCGGGCUCUUUGAGUUUGGUAAUUGGAAUGAAUAGAAUUUAAAUCCCUUAACGAGGAUCAAUU
rnacentral:rRNA from 1 species